rnacentral:rRNA from 1 species
GACGAACGCUGGCGGCGUGCUUAACACAUGCAAGUCGAGCGGUAAGGCCCUUUCGGGGGUACACGAGCGGCGAACGGGUGAGUAACACGUGGGUGACCUGCCCUCAGCUCUGGGAUAAGCCUGGGGAAACCGGGUCUAAUACCGGAUAUGACUCCAUGACGCAUGUUGUGGGGUGGAAAGCCUUGUGCGGCUGAGGAUGGGCCCGCGGCCUAUCAGCUUGUUGGUGGGGUGAUGGCCUACCAAGGCGACGACGGGUAGCCGGCCUGAGAGGGCGACCGGCCACACUGGGACUGAGACACGGCCCAGACUCCUACGGGAGGCAGCAGUCGGGAAUAUUGGACAAUGGGCGAAAGCCUGAUCCAGCCAUGCCGCGUGAGUGAUGAAGGCC